UACGGAGGGUGCAAGCGUUAUCCGGAUUUACUGGGUUUAAAGGGUGCGUAGGUGGGCAGAUAAGUCAGCGGUGAAAUCUCCGGGCUUAACUCGGAAACUGCCAUUGAUACUAUUUGUCUUGAAUAUCCUGGAGGUGAGCGGAAUAUGUCAUGUAGCGGUGAAAUGCUUAGAUAUGACAUAGAACACCAAUUGCGAAGGCAGCUCGCUACGGGAUUAUUGACACUGAGGCACGAAAGCGUGGGGAUCAAACAGG
rnacentral:rRNA from 1 species